rnacentral:rRNA from 1 species
UUGUAAUCUGUAGAAGGUUCUUUGGGAGCGUUUGAGGCCAAGUCCUUUGGAAUUCGGCAUCACAGAGGGUGAUAAUCCCGUCUUGCCUGACAAACAAUCCCGUGUAAAGACCUUUCAACGAGUCGAGUUGUUUGGGAAUGCAGCUCAAAAUGGGUGGUAGACUUCAUCUAAAGCUAAAUAUCAACCAAAGACCGAUAGCGCACAAGUAGAGUGAUCGAAAGAUGAAAAGCACUUUGAAAAGAGAGUCAAACAGCACGUGAAAUUGUUGAAAGGGAAGCGCUAGCAACCAGACUUGUUCUGUAAAGCUCAGCCCUCUGAAAAGAUGGUGUAUUCUUUUCGAACAGGCCAACAUCAGUUUUGGCGGUUGGAUAAAAGUUGAAGGCAAGUAGCUUUGCUUCGGUGAAGUGUUAUAGCCUCAGCAUAAUGCAGCCAGCUGGGACUGAGGAAUUGCGUCUUCGGAUAAAGAUGUUGGCAUAAUGGUUGUUAGCGACCCGUCUUGAAACACGGACCAAGGAGUCGACCAAUUAAGCAAGCGUUUGGGUGUAAAACCCUUUGACGCGAAAUGAAAGUAAAUGUAGGUGGGAAGUCUUUCGACUGCACCAUCGACCGAUCUGAGUUCGCGAGGAUUUGAGUAUGAGUUUCAUUGGUCGGACCCGAAAGGCAAGUCCCUCCGAAACAAAAAUAUGUGAGAAAAUUACUAACUUCUAUAAUAGAAGGUGAACUAUUCUUGGAUAGGUUGAAGUCAGGUGAAAACCUGAUGGAAGACCGCAGCGGUUCUGACGUGCAAAUCGAUCGUCAAAUCUGGGAAUAGGGGCGAAAGACUAAUCGAACCUUCUAGUAGCUGGUUCCUGUCGAAGUUUCCCUCAGGAUAGCAGCAACGAUAAUACAGUCUCAUGAGGUAGAGCAACGAUUAGAGGCCUUGGGGCUGAAACAGCCUUAACCUAUUCUCGAACUCCGAAUAUGUGAGAAGUCCUUGUUACUUUAUUGAA